rnacentral:rRNA from 1 species
GUGGGGAAUUUUGGACAAUGGGCGCAAGCCUGAUCCAGCCAUGCCGCGUGUGUGAAGAAGGCCUUCGGGUUGUAAAGCACUUUCGGCCGGAACGAAAUCGCGCGGUCUAAUAAGUCGCGUGGAUGACGGUACCGGAAGAAGAAGCACCGGCUAACUACGUGCCAGCAGCCGCGGUAAUACGUAGGGUGCGAGCGUUAAUCGGAAUUACUGGGCGUAAAGUGUGCGCAGGUGGCCGCGCAAGUCGAGUGUGAAAUCCCCGGGCUUAACUUGGGAAUUGCGCUCGAAACUACGUGGCUCGAGUGUGGCAGAGGAAGGUGGAAUUCCACGUGUAGCGGUGAAAUGCGUAGAGAUGUGGAGGAACACCGAUGGCGAAGGCAGCCUUCUGGGCCAACACUGACACUCAUGCACGAAAGCGUGGGGAGCAAACAGGAUUAGAUACCCGAGUAGUCC